ACACUCAAAAAAAUGAACUUUCCUUAUUGUUAGUUUUACUAUACCCAUCCUUGUUCACAUUACAUAAAACAUAUUAGUAAUUAAAUUAACACAAGUAAACUAUGUUAUUUCUACAAAAAUGUAGUGCUGUAGACUUUACUUAAUAAGGGUUUGACUGGCCAACUUAACAUUGUGGAGUAAAACGCAAAACCCUCUUAAGUUUGGAUAUUUGUGGAUACCGUAGCUGCUUACCUAGAGGUGGAGCACCAGAGCAGAACAGAAGACAAACGAACGCGGGAAGCACAUUGAGGAGGAGAAGAUGGUGGCUUUGUCAGAUUGCUGCUGAAUUCAGUCGAAUCACUACUGUCCCACUAAUUCAAACAUUUAUGUCAAAACAAGAUGGUUACACCAGCAAGCUGGCCAGCAUCUACCAUAAAAGGAGGAAUUGCAGGGUGUAAAAUUUGGAAACUGAUGGCUACCAUCGACAAGUAUGAUACCAUCUGAACUUGCAUUCUCAGAGCAUGUUCUGUGUAUCUUAAUGAAGACUAUGAAACCUCAUGUAUACAGACACAGACUUUGAAAACUCUAAGACAUGGGCAAUAUUGUCAUUGGAAUCUACAUCAUCAGACCUGAAGGUGCAGAAGCCUGUGACCCACCAUCAGAUGUUGGACUGAUUUUUGAGGGAGUAAAUGUGCUUCAGAACCUUGGCGAAGUCACCUAGGCUUGUGCUCUUUCUUUGAGAGUCAUAUACAGCUUCAAUCUCAGUUAUCCUUCAGACCUGAAAUACACUUUUGAGUUUUUCCAGAAAGUGUUGCUGGGACUUGAUGCACAUAAACUGUUACUCAUAAUACAAGUUCUUAAGAACAAACCUGUUGGUUGAAUCAGUACAUCAUUCUGGACAAAUGAAAGAAAUAAAGGAAGAAGCUUUUUUUGUGACAUUUAAA